CUGGUAUUCCUAGAUUCGUAAACAGUAAUCAUCGCGCAUCGUCACAAUGUGUAAAAUAUAUUGAUUUAGUGUUAAAGUGCUAAAUAUAAUUACCCGUAUUUUAAUGGGACAGUUAUAUUUUAUAAUAAUAAAAAGUCUUCAGCUGCUGUUGAUUGAUGAUUACGAGUCGUACGAAGAAUUCGGGGUAUUUAUUUUCAAUCAUCAAUAUAGUUGUACAUAACGGUAAUACCAAAAUUAAUGAUAGUAAUAAAAGUAAUCGACAUUUUAUCGUUUUUAUCACAGGUUAGAUUCUAUCACAGGAACUCGAAAUUCGAUUGCGGGUGAUACCGAUGCGAGGUGGCUAUGAUGUUCAUUUCUAAAUCAGAAAUCACCGAUAAUCUUGACUACGAUUAAAAGCUGACCGACGUCGUUAAAGUGAUGUGAUGGAUUUUGUAUCACUUUUUUAUGCCCGAUAACAUUUUUAAUACUAUAACAGUAUAGUAUUGCUGAUGAAAACAAACGAAACAUAGCUCUUUUUUUUUUUCAAACGUAAUUCGUGCGCUUAUUUUCGUACAAACAAUAUUCCACUUGAGAGCGAAACUUUUUGUCAUAAUCGUCGAAAGUGCACGCGUGUCUUAUAAUCGGGUUAUGUUUUAUUGAAAAAAUGACAAGUCUUAUGUCAAUCUCGCGAUAAAAUAUAUCGGCACAAGUAUAAUAUUUUUGAACGCCAAUGCACCUGUUGGGUUGCGAGUAGGGUGAAAUAUGAGCGUAGGUAGUAUGUUUGUUUUAUUUUUAUUCUCAAUGUUGACUUCGAUAAUAGAAAAGACUGGAAAAUUAGUUUAUACAUAUUUUAACACGCAGAUCGUCUCGUAUUAUUUGAAUGUAAUCAAAUUGCUGCAGAUGUGUUUCCUUCCUGAGACAUAAAAAAUAAAAAAACACCAUCACGUACCUACGGGAUUAUAGCGGGAUUGUAGAAUUCCGCUUGAGGUUUCUUCCCUCGAGUUCCAUUCCUCAUUUCGUCCGAAACGUUCGAGCAAAAAAUACACACUGUUCGUGAUAAACGAAACAAUAAUUUUCAAUAUUCGAGUGAGACAUGGUUAAACGUUUAUUUUGUUUGUGUUUUGUUUAAUUGAAAAUUGAGUUUUAUUUAAAAAUUUAAAAUUCAAACAUUCAUGCAAAAAAAAACUUGUCUAAGGAUUUUCAAUAUUUUUAUCUAACUUAUGAAAAUAUUUUCGAUAGUUCUCACAAAACUAAAUAAAAUGUAUACAUCGACAAAAAAACUCGCGCUUUCAAAAAGCUAUAAAUAAUUCCAAAAAACAGCGGAAUAUUUUAAAAAUUGUACCACGUCUCAAAAGUACUAAUUUACAGAUAUUUGGUGAUAAUUUCAGACAUUUGCUGAAUUAUAACAACAAAAAAGUUUUGAUAGGUGUGCCACUGUUGUUUAUAGGAAGUUGGAAAGAUAGGACACAUAAAUAUGAUCAAUUUAUAUCUGCACAUAAUAAAAAACUAUUUUGGGUGAAGUUUAGUUAUAAAUGUAAAGAACGCCUUAAUUUUUCUGAUUUUCGUCAAAAUUUGAUCUAAUAAUUCGCAUAUUAAAAAGAACAUUACGCUCCAUUUUAUUUUCAGACCACUAAAAUAAAAAUAUCACCAACCCAGUAUCACAUUGUCAAAAAUUUCUGUUUGGUCAAACAAUUAUAUCUACAUUCUAACCAAAAACUAAAAAAAAAAAAAAAACACAAAAAUGUCAAAUGCCUAUAUUUAGCUCAAAAAUCACCAGAAAUGUUAAUUUCAUCACGUCUAGAAAAAACCAAUAUAAGUAUUCUAUUUCCUAAUUUUGUCCUAAUUAUAAGAAUUUAUAGAAUAUAAUUCAUUUUUCUACGUGUAUUUAUAACUGAAUUACGGCAAAAAACUCCCAAAAAUUAAAAUUCCUUAAACGCUCAAAAGUAGCUCAACAAUUUUGGCGAUGGUAUCGUAAGAAAGCAAAUUAAAAAAACAACACAAUAAGUAUUUUGUGAUAUUCUGAUUAAAUCAUUUUUUUCUGGUCAAAAACGUCGUCCAUAUUUUUAUAAAAUAAUGAAAUCGUGAAAUUGUACGUUUUCCUACGUUUUUUUUCCACUUAAGUGAUUUUGUUUAAAAAAUGGUAAUGAAAAUAAAAAAAUUCCUUCAUUAAAAUACAAUCGAGAAGAAAAAACAAAGAAAAAAAAGAAGAAAUAAACAGCAUUGUAAAACCAAUAGCUUCCUCGCUACGCUCGGAAUCUAAAACUAAAUAUUGGUAUUGACAGAAUUAUAAUAUAUUUUUUCAUGCGUCCCUUUAAGGAAAUUAAAAAAAAUCGAUGUGUAUAUAUUUGAAUCAGAAGCUCUGAGGGAUGAAUGGAUAAAUAGAAAUCGCGUUGAAAAAAAGAAAGGCUAUUAUAGUCGUAUUGGUUGAUUCAUUUUUUAAACGAGUAAUAUCGUUAUUUUGUUCUAGAUAUUAUAAUAGUUCAUGUACGCAUUUGAUCAGAAACAUCGACACGACGGGAACACGAAAUAUCUCACAAUCAAAAAAUUAAAUUUUCCACAACAAUAACCAGUUUAUCUUAUGAACACUUCGAGGAAAACUGUAUACUUAUAAUAAUAUUACAUGUUAUAUUACUCAUGUAAAAAUGUAAAAUGUAUUUUCAAAUUAAAAUAUACUUCUCAAUCAACAGUUUAAAUAAUUGUUUUUUUUUUUUUUUUUUUUGAUAUUCAAGUAUAAUUUAGACAACUUGAUCUUUCAGAAACGUUGUUAGACGUAAAUA